rnacentral:rRNA from 1 species
AAAUUGAAGAGUUUGAUCAUGGCUCAGAUUGAACGCUGGCGGCAGGCCUAACACAUGCAAGUCGAGCGGUAGCACAGGAGAGCUUGCUCUCUGGGUGACGAGCGGCGGACGGGUGAGUAAUGUCUGGGAAACUGCCUGAUGGAGGGGGAUAACUACUGGAAACGGUAGCUAAUACCGCAUAACCUCGCAAGAGCAAAGAGGGGGACCUUCGGGCCUCUCGCCAUCAGAUGUGCCCAGAUGGGAUUAGCUAGUAGGUGAGGUAAUGGCUCACCUAGGCGACGAUCCCUAGCUGGUCUGAGAGGAUGACCAGCCACACUGGAACUGAGACACGGUCCAGACUCCUACGGGAGGCAGCAGUGGGGAAUAUUGCACAAUGGGCGCAAGCCUGAUGCAGCCAUGCCGCGUGUGUGAAGAAGGCCUUCGGGUUGUAAAGCACUUUCAGCGGGGAGGAAGGCGAUAAGGUUAAUAACCUUGUCGAUUGACGUUACCCGCAGAAGAAGCACCGGCUAACUCCGUGCCAGCAGCCGCGGUAAUACGGAGGGUGCAAGCGUUAAUCGGAAUGACUGGGCGUAAAGCGCACGCAGGCGGUCUGUUAAGUUGGAUGUGAAAUCCCCGGGCUUAACCUGGGAACUGCAUUCAAAACUGACAGGCUAGAGUCUUGUAGAGGGGGGUAGAAUUCCAGGUGUAGCGGUGAAAUGCGUAGAGAUCUGGAGGAAUACCGGUGGCGAAGGCGGCCCCCUGGACAAAGACUGACGCUCAGGUGCGAAAGCGUGGGGAGCAAACAGGAUUAGAUACCCUGGUAGUCCACGCUGUAAACGAUGUCGACUUGGAGGUUGUGCCCUUGAGGCGUGGCUUCCGGAGCUAACGCGUUAAGUCGACCGCCUGGGGAGUACGGCCGCAAGGUUAAAACUCAAAUGAAUUGACGGGGGCCCGCACAAGCGGUGGAGCAUGUGGUUUAAUUCGAUGCAACGCGAAGAACCUUACCUACUCUUGACAUCCAGAGAAUUUGCUAGAGAUAGCUUAGUGCCUUCGGGAACUCUGAGACAGGUGCUGCAUGGCUGUCGUCAGCUCGUGUUGUGAAAUGUUGGGUUAAGUCCCGCAACGAGCGCAACCCUUAUCCUUUGUUGCCAGCGAUUCGGUCGGGAACUCAAAGGAGACUGCCGGUGAUAAACCGGAGGAAGGUGGGGAUGACGUCAAGUCAUCAUGGCCCUUACGAGUAGGGCUACACACGUGCUACAAUGGCGUAUACAAAGAGAAGCGACCUCGCGAGAGUAAGCGGACCUCAUAAAGUACGUCGUAGUCCGGAUUGGAGUCUGCAACUCGACUCCAUGAAGUCGGAAUCGCUAGUAAUCGUAGAUCAGAAUGCUACGGUGAAUACGUUCCCGGGCCUUGUACACACCGCCCGUCACACCAUGGGAGUGGGUUGCAAAAGAAGUAGGUAGCUUAACCUUCGGGAGGGCGCUUACCACUUUGUGAUUCAUGACUGGGGUGAAGUCGUAACAAGGUAACCGUAGGGGAACCUGCGGUUGGAUCACCUCCUUA